UCCGUACAAACUCUGCUGUG
rnacentral:miRNA from 1 species